GACGAACGCUGGCGGCGUGCCUAAUACAUGCAAGUAGAACGCACAGUUUAUACCGUAGCUUGCUACACCAUAAACUGUGAGUUGCGAACGGGUGAGUAACGCGUAGGUAACCUGCCUGGUAGCGGGGGAUAACUAUUGGAAACGAUAGCUAAUACCGCAUAAUAUUAAUUAUUGCAUGAUAAUUGAUUGAAAGAUGCAAUUGCAUCACUACCAGAUGGACCUGCGUUGUAUUAGCUAGUAGGUGAGGUAACGGCUCACCUAGGCGACGAUACAUAGCCGACCUGAGAGGGUGAUCGGCCACACUGGGACUGAGACACGGCCCAGACUCCUACGGGAGGCAGCAGUAGGGAAUCUUCGGCAAUGGACGAAAGUCUGACCGAGCAACGCCGCGUGAGUGAAGAAGGUUUUCGGAUCGUAAAGCUCUGCUGUAAGAGAAGAACGGGUGUGAGAGUGGAAAGUUCACACUGUGACGGUAUCUUACCAGAAAGAGACGGCUAACUACGUG
rnacentral:rRNA from 1 species